rnacentral:rRNA from 1 species
AUUGAACGCUGGCGGCAGGCCUAACACAUGCAAGUCGAGCGGAUGAAGGGAGCUUGCUCCUGGAUUCAGCGGCGGACGGGUGAGUAAUGCCUAGGAAUCUGCCUGGCAGUGGGGGAUAACGUCCGGAAACGGGCGAUAAUACCGCAUACGUCCUGAGGGAGAAAGUGGGGGAGCUUCGGACCUCACGCUAUCAGAUGAGCCUAGGUCGGAUUAGCGAGUUGGUGGGGUAAAGGCCUACCAAGGCGACGAUCCGUAACUGGUCUGAGAGGAUGAUCAGCCACACUGGAACUGAGACACGGUCCAGACUCCUACGGGAGGCAGCAGUGGGGAAUAUUGGACAAUGGGCGCAAGCCUGAUCCAGCCAUGCCGCGUGGGUGAAGAAGGUCUUCGGAUUGUAAAGCACUUUAAUUUGGGAGGAAGGGCAGUAAGUUAAUACCUUGCUGUUUUGACGUUACCAACAGAAUAAGCACCGGCUAACUUCGUG